UACGGGGGGGGCAAGCGUUGUUCGGAAUUACUGGGCGUAAAGGGCUCGUAGGCGGCCAACUAAGUCGGACGUGAAAUCCCUCGGCUUAACCGGGGAACUGCGUCUGAUACUGGAUGGCUUGAAUCCGGGAGAGGGAUGCGGAAUUCCAGGUGUAGCGGUGAAAUGCGUAGAUAUCUGGAGGAGCACCGGUGGCGAAGGCGGCAUCCUGGACCGGCAUUGACGCUGAGGAGCGAAAGCCAGGGGAGCAAACGGG
rnacentral:rRNA from 1 species